rnacentral:rRNA from 1 species
GACGAACGCUGGCGGCGUGCUUAACACAUGCAAGUCGAACGGAAAGGCCCUGCUUUUGUGGGGUGCCCGAGGGGCGAACGGGUGAGUAACACGUGAGUAACCUGCCCUGGACUUUGGGAUAACUUCAGGAAACUGGGGCUAAUACCGGAUAGGAGCUCCUGCUGCAUGGGGGGGGUUGGAAAGUUUCGGCGGUUGGGGAUGGACUCGCGGCUUAUCAGCUUGUUGGUGGGGUAGUGGCUUACCAAGGCUUUGACGGGUAGCCGGCCUGAGAGGGUGACCGGCCACAUUGGGACUGAGAUACGGCCCAGACUCCUACGGGAGGCAGCAGUGGGGAAUAUUGCACAAUGGGCGGAAGCCUGAUGCAGCAACGCCGCGUGCGGGAUGACGGCCUUCGGGUUGUAAACCGCUUUCGCCUGUGACGAAGCGUGAGUGACGGUAAUGGGUAAAGAAGCACCGGCUAACUACGUG